UGAUGUGGUCCUGGGUGUGCCCGAAAA
rnacentral:piRNA from 1 species